GUCGAACGAACUCUGGUAUUGAUUGGUGCUUGCAUCAUGAUUUACAUUUGAGUGAGUGGCGAACUGGUGAGUAACACGUGGGAAACCUGCCCAGAAGCGGGGGAUAACAUCUGGAAACAGAUGCUAAUACCGCAUAACAACUUGGACCGCAUGGUCCGAGUUUGAAAGAUGGCUUCGGCUAUCACUUUUGGAUGGUCCCGCGGCGUAUUAGCUAGAUGGUGGGGUAACGGCUCACCAUGGCAAUGAUACGUAGCCGACCUGAGAGGGUAAUCGGCCACAUUGGGACUGAGACACGGCCCAAACUCCUACGGGAGGCAGCAGUAGGGAAUCUUCCACAAUGGACGAAAGUCUGAUGGAGCAACGCCGCGUGAGUGAAGAAGGGUUUCGGCUCGUAAAACUCUGUUGUUAAAGAAGAACAUAUCUGAGAGUAACUGUUCAGGUAUUGACGGUAUUUAACCAGAAAGCCACGGCUAACUACGUGCCAGCAGCCGCGGUAAUACGUAGGUGGCAAGCGUUGUCCGGAUUUAUUGGGCGUAAAGCGAGCGCAGGCGGUUUUUUAAGUCUGAUGUGAAAGCCUUCGGCUCAACCGAAGAAGUGCAUCGGAAACUGGGAAACUUGAGUGCAGAAGAGGACAGUGGAACUCCAUGUGUAGCGGUGAAAUGCGUAGAUAUAUGGAAGAACACCAUGGCGAAGGCGGCUGUCUGGUCUGUAACUGACGCUGAGGCUCGAAAGUAUGGGUAGCAAACAGGAUUAGAUACCCUGGUAGUCCAUACCGUAAACGAUGAAUGCUAAGUGUUGGAGGGUUUCCGCCCUUCAGUGCUGCAGCUAACGCAAUAAGCAUUCCGCCUGGGGAGUACGACGCAAGGCUGAAACUCAAAGGAAUUGACGGGGGCCCGCACAACAGGUGGAGCAUGUGGUUUAAUUCGAAGCUACGCGAAGAACCAAACCAGGUCUUGACAUAAUAUGCAAAUAUAAGAGAUUAGACGUUACCUUAAAGGACAUGGAUACAAGAGGUGCAAGGUAGUAAUCAAAUCGUGUCGUGAGAUGUUGGGAUAAAUCCCACAACGAGCGCAACCAAGAAUUAUCAGUUGCCAACAAAAAGUAGGGCACUAUGGUGAGAAAACCGAAGACAAACAAGAGGAAGAAGGGGAAGACGUCAAAUCAUCAAACCCAAGAAUGCUCAAGGGAGUCACACGUGAUGCAGGUGAUGGUACAACGAGUUGCGAACUCACGAGAGUAAAAUAAUAUAUUAAAACCAUUAUCAGUUCGGAUUGUAGGAUGCAACUCGCCUACAAGAAGUAGGAAUCGCUAGUAAUCGCGGAUCAGCAAGCCGCGGUGAAUACGUUCCCGGGCCUUGUACACACCACCCAGCUCACCAUGAGAGUUUGUAACACCCAAAAUGGGUGGGGUAACCUUUUAGGAACCAGCCACGUAAGGUAGGA
rnacentral:rRNA from 2 species